UUACUUAAAAUUGGUUAUCAAAGAGACUCUUCGAUUACACCCUCCUCUUCCUUUGCUACUUCCAAGAGAAUCUCGAGAGCAAUGCGAGAUUAAUGGAAAUCGGAUACCCAUCAAAACCAAAGUGAUUGUUAAUGCAUGGGCUAUAGGAAGGGAUCCAAAUUAUUGGAUUGAGGCUGAAAGAUUCAAUCCUGAAAGAUUUUCUGAUAGUACAAUAGAUUACAAGGGAGCUAAUUUUGAGUACAUCCCAUUUGGUGCCGGAAGGAGGAUUUGUCCUGGUAUAUCAUUUGGUAUGGUCAAUGUCGAGCUUCCACUCGCAAAUUUGCUUUACUAUUUUGAUUGGAAACUCCCUAGUGGAAUGAAGCUAGAAGAACUAGACAUGACAGAGUCUUUUGGAUCAGUUGUUAGUAGAAAAAACGACUUGUGCUUGAUUCCUACUCUGUGCCAUCCUCUGCCAGUGGCAUAACAAUGGUGGAAACUGCAAAAUAGACUAAAUUCGUGUAUUUAGAUAUAUAAAUAUUUAAGUAUAAAUAAAUGAGUAUUGAUAAAUAUGUGAUGCUUAGAUAAGUGUAUGGUGCUUGGCACUAUGUGUGGGGUAUUUAAUUAACGAGUGUUAGCAUUGUGAGUACUGUAUACGCCUAUCUAUGACAUAUGUUAUGUAGAGUGUUUAUG
rnacentral:misc_RNA from 1 species